GACGAACGCUGGCGGCGUGCUUAACACAUGCAAGUCGAACGAUGAAGCGGUGCUUGCACCGUGGAUUAGUGGCGAACGGGUGAGUAAUACGUGAGUGACCUACCUUUGACUCUGGGAUAAGCCUGGGAAACUGGGUCUAAUACCGGAUACGACCAAUCUCUGCAUGGGGUGUUGGUGGGAAGCGUUAUGGAGUGGUUUUAGAUGGGCUCACGGCCUAUCAGCUUGUUGGUGAGGUAAUGGCUUACCAAGGCGACGACGGGUAGCCGGCCUGAGAGGGUGACCGGCCACACUGGGACUGAGACACGGCCCAGACUCCUACGGGAGGCAGCAGUGGGGAAUAUUGCACAAUGGGCGCAAGCCUGAUGCAGCGACGCCGCGUGAGGGAUGACGGCCUUCGGGUUGUAAACCUCUGUUAGCAUCGAAGAAGCGAAAGUGACGGUAGGUGCAGAGAAAGCGCCGGCUAACUACGUGCCAGCAGCCGCGGUAAUACGUAGGGCGCGAGCGUUGUCCGGAAUUAUUGGGCGUAAAGAGCUUGUAGGCGGUUGGUCGCGUCUGCUGUGAAGGCCGGGGCUUAACUCCGGUUUUGCAGUGGGUACGGGCUAACUAGAGUGCAGUAGGGGAGACUGGAAUUCCUGGUGUAGCGGUGGAAUGCACAGAUAUCGGGAGGAACACCGAUGGCGAAGGCAGGUCUCUGGGCUGUAACUGACGCUGAGAAUCGAAAGCAUGGGGAGCGAACAGGAUUAGAUACCCUGGUAGUCCAUGCCGUAAACGUUGGGCACUAGGUGUGGGGGACAUUCCACGUUUUCCGCGCCGUAGCUAACGCAUUAAGUGCCCCGCCUGGGGAGUACGGCCGCAAGGCUAAAACUCAAAGGAAUUGACGGGGGCCCGCACAAGCGGCGGAGCAUGCGGAUUAAUUCGAUGCAACGCGAAGAACCUUACCAAGGCUUGACAUGCAUUAGAUCGCGUCAGAGAUGGCGUUUCCCUUCGGGGCUGGUGUACAGGUGGUGCAUGGUUGUCGUCAGCUCGUGUCGUGAGAUGUUGGGUUAAGUCCCGCAACGAGCGCAACCCUCGUUCUAUGUUGCCAGCGGUUCGGCCGGGGACACAUAGGAGACUGCCGGGGUCAACUCGGAGGAAGGUGGGGAUGACGUCAAAUCAUCAUGCCCCUUAUGUCUUGGGCUUCACGCAUGCUACAAUGGCCGGUACAGAGGGUUGCGAUACUGUGAGGUGGAGCUAAUCCCUUAAAGCCGGUCUCAGUUCGGAUUGGGGUCUGCAACUCGACCCCAUGAAGUCGGAGUCGCUAGUAAUCGCAGAUCAGCAACGCUGCGGUGAAUACGUUCCCGGGCCU
rnacentral:rRNA from 1 species